rnacentral:rRNA from 1 species
UACGUAGGGUGCAAGCGUUGUCCGGAAUUAUUGGGCGUAAAGAGCUCGUAGGCGGUUUGUCGCGUCUGCUGUGAAAAACGCGGGGGCUCAACUCCGCGCCUGCAGUGGGUACGGGCAGACUAGAGUGCAGUAGGGAGACUGGAAUUCCUGGUGUAGCGGUGAAAUGCGCAGAUAUCAGGAGGAACACCGGUGGCGAAGGCGGUCUCUGGGCCGAUAUUGACGCUGAGGGAGCGAAAGCGUGGGAGCAAACAGG